UACGAAGGGGGCUAGCGUUGCUCGGAAAUCACUGGGCGUAAAGGGUGCGUAGGCGGGUCUUUUAAGUCAGGGGUGAAAUCCUGGAGCUCAACUCCAGAACUGCCUUUGAUACUGAAGAUCUUGAGUUCGGGAGAGGUGAGUGGAACUGCGAGUGUAGAGGUGAAAUUCGUAGAUAUUCGCAAGAACACCAGUGGCGAAGGCGGCUCACUGGCCCGAUACUGACGCUGAUGCACGAAAGCGUGGGGAGCAAACAGG
rnacentral:rRNA from 1 species